rnacentral:lncRNA from 1 species
CAGCAGGCUAUUGACUCUGGGCACCGAAACAGAAACUUAGGCACAAGAGAACUCUAUCAAGAUUAACUUAGCUAAUUUAGCAGAAACAAAGCUAAAAUAUAAAUCUGUUCAGAGCGAGAUGCCAGUGAGAAAUAAAUCAACUCUUGGGUUAAAGACAAGAUACAAAACUGAUUAUAUGGUAUGAUCACAAGGUUGGUUGACAUGCAUGCUCCCACACACAUAGGUAUGAGCACACAUACAAACUCACAUAGCUCAUAAACAUUCUUACUCACAUACAUGCAGACACAAUGCUGAAACAAACACAUCAGAAUGUAAACUCUGGUCACUUUUUCUGAGUGAUUGGAUUAUGAGGGAUUUUAUUUUGUUUCUACUUUAUUUUUCCAUUUUCCUUGCCAAACUUUCUCAUUCGAUCUCAUCAAACACAGCUCAGCUACCAGAGAACCCUAAUCCUUGUGCAGCCCGGUCCAGCCAGGUCCUCAGCUGUCCAACUCUCCAUCUUACUCCCUGGGCCCUGAAGCCUUUUGUUGCAUCUCUUGUUUAUUCUUCAUUCCCAGGUCCAAGUUCACAGGGUUAGACUGUUCUUUACCUUACACUCCAGAGAAUAAUUUCCAUUGUCUGGAACUCAGGCAGUUUUAAAACAUUGUCACAAAGCUCUUUGACAGUAAUCCUGUUGAGUGGUGGGGUCUAUGUCCUUUCCACUUGACUCCAGGCAGUCUUGUGAUGGACUGUUUCAACCAAUCCAAUGUGGUGGGAGUGAUACUGCAUGAUUUGUGAAACUGUGCCAUGAAAGAUAUUGCAGCUUCUAAGUUGUUUAAUGGAAUCCUUGCCCUGAGUCCCUGUGCCAAGCCUGACCACCUGCCAUGUUGUGAGAGCCUCAGACCCAUGGAAACACCAUGCAUAGGUGCUAAGCCCAGCAAUGAGAGUAAAUGAGCCCUUAGCUGAUUCCAGCUCUGUAGGGUUCCUCCCAGUCUUCAGAUCUUUCCAGCUGGGGUCCAGACAUGGAGAAGCAGAGUCAAGCUGUUUAUACUGUGCCCUGUCUGAAUUCUUGACAGGAGAAUCUUUGAGCUUAAUGAAAUGGCUGUUUUAAAGUGCCCUGCCAAAUUUGAGGGUGAUCUGUUACACAGCAAUAGCAGCUAAAACAGGAAACUUGGACCCAGUUUGAGUCAGAUUUCUGACAAAGAGCUGAAAUCAGGUUUUUUUGUUUGUUUUUUAUGGCUCAGGAGCCAAACACAAGCAUUUUCCUCAGGUUGAUAUAAUGCUUUUCCCAAGUGAUUCAUCAAACCAAGGCGCCUGAAUGAGAAACUCUGCUUCCUAUUAUACAGAUGCCCAAGGA